GCAAGGAUGGUGCAGUGGUGAGCGCACUCUCCUCCUACCAAUACGGCCCGUGUUCGAAUCCCGGACCCGGCG